rnacentral:rRNA from 2 species
AUGCAUGGGGCAGCUAUACAUGCAAGUCGAACGAACUCUGGUAUUGAUUGGUGCUUGCAUCAUGAUUUACAUUUGAGUGAGUGGCGAACUGGUGAGUAACACGUGGGAAACCUGCCCAGAAGCGGGGGAUAACACCUGGAAACAGAUGCUAAUACCGCAUAACAACUUGGACCGCAUGGUCCGAGCUUGAAAGAUGGCUUCGGCUAUCACUUUUGGAUGGUCCCGCGGCGUAUUAGCUAGAUGGUGGGGUAACGGCUCACCAUGGCAAUGAUACGUAGCCGACCUGAGAGGGUAAUCGGCCACAUUGGGACUGAGACACGGCCCAAACUCCUACGGGAGGCAGCAGUAGGGAAUCUUCCACAAUGGACGAAAGUCUGAUGGAGCAACGCCGCGUGAGUGAAGAAGGGUUUCGGCUCGUAAAACUCUGUUGUUAAAGAAGAACAUAUCUGAGAGUAACUGUUCAGGUAUUGACGGUAUUUAACCAGAAAGCCACGGCUAACUACGUGCCAGCAGCCGCGGUAAUACGUAGGUGGCAAGCGUUGUCCGGAUUUAUUGGGCGUAAAGCGAGCGCAGGCGGUUUUUUAAGUCUGAUGUGAAAGCCUUCGGCUCAACCGAAGAAGUGCAUCGGAAACUGGGAAACUUGAGUGCAGAAGAGGACAGUGGAACUCCAUGUGUAGCGGUGAAAUGCGUAGAUAUAUGGAAGAACACCAGUGGCGAAGGCGGCUGUCUGGUCUGUAACUGACGCUGAGGCUCGAAAGUAUGGGUAGCAAACAGGAUUAGAUACCCUGGUAGUCCAUACCGUAAACGAUGAAUGCUAAGUGUUGGAGGGUUUCCGCCCUUCAGUGCUGCAGCUAACGCAUUAAGCAUUCCGCCUGGGGAGUACGGCCGCAAGGCUGAAACUCAAAGGAAUUGACGGGGGCCCGCACAAGCGGUGGAGCAUGUGGUUUAAUUCGAAGCUACGCGAAGAACCUUACCAGGUCUUGACAUACUAUGCAAAUCUAAGAGAUUAGACGUUCCCUUCGGGGACAUGGAUACAGGUGGUGCAUGGUUGUCGUCAGCUCGUGUCGUGAGAUGUUGGGUUAAGUCCCGCAACGAGCGCAACCCUUAUUAUCAGUUGCCAGCAUUAAGUUGGGCACUCUGGUGAGACUGCCGGUGACAAACCGGAGGAAGGUGGGGAUGACGUCAAAUCAUCAUGCCCCUUAUGACCUGGGCUACACACGUGCUACAAUGGAUGGUACAACGAGUUGCGAACUCGCGAGAGUAAGCUAAUCUCUUAAAGCCAUUCUCAGUUCGGAUUGUAGGCUGCAACUCGCCUACAUGAAGUCGGAAUCGCUAGUAAUCGCGGAUCAGCAUGCCGCGGUGAAUACGUUCCCGGGCCUUGUACACACCGCCCGUCACACCAUGAGAGUUUGUAACACCCAAAGUCGGUGGGGUAACCUUUUAGGAACCAGCCGCCUAAGGUGGGACAGAUGAUUAGGGUGAAGUCGAACAAGAGCUGCAC